GUGAGUAGUUCAGAGUUUGAUCCUGGCUCAGGAUGAACGCUGGCGGCGUGCUUAACACAUGCAAGUCGAACGGAGUUGUUUCGCUGACGAGACUUCGGUCAAAUCUUGAAACAACUUAGUGGCGGACGGGUGAGUAACGCGUGGGUAACCUGCCAUAUACAGGGGGAUAACACUUAGAAAUAGGUGCUAAUACCGCAUAAGCGCACAGAGCUGCAUGGCUCAGUGUGAAAAACUCCGGUGGUAUAUGAUGGACCCGCGUCUGAUUAGCUAGUUGGUGAGGUAACGGCCCACCAAGGCGACGAUCAGUAGCCGGCCUGAGAGGGUGAACGGCCACAUUGGGACUGAGACACGGCCCAA
rnacentral:rRNA from 1 species